GCCCGCUGCCGCAGCUUCCAGAACCUGCAGAUACGACGCCAUUUGCUAUCAUGUGUGUGUGCAAAAUUCAAGUUUUGAUUCUUGCCUGAUAUAAAACCACUGCUGCGACGGCGACCGGCUCAGUUUCGUCGUGCGCUUCGAAAGCAAUUUAUCGCUCUUUCUUAAUGUGUGCCAACAACGUAUGUGUCAAUGAAUAGUAGGCUUGACGUGUAUAAACCCAGUUCGAAGUUUCUGCCAGUCAUUCGAUUGGAUAAACACCUGAGAACUCGAAAAGGCAGUCGACUUGGCAACUCCGGCAAUCGGUUAGAACUGCAGGUGCUCACCCAGCUCCAUCACGUGCCCUAGCUUGACCACGCCCACAUUAGACACCAGUGACAUCUAUUAGCAUCAAUCGCACGCACGUCUAGGAAAUUAACCUCAUCGCACACCGCACACAGCAUUUCAAAAUGGUCCAGGGAACUUCGUACGACUACGGCACCAAGGUGACGCCCGCGUCAGCGUCCUCGUGGGAGAAGGCCUCGGCGAAGCGCUCCGGCUACGAAGCCGUGCAACGCGCCGAUAAAGAGCGCCAGGAGCAGAAGGCCAAAGAGGCGAACAAGUAUGGCGCGUGGGGGUCCACCUUCAAGGGGCGUGAUCACUUUGCCAGCAUGCAUCACUGUUAAAUUAUUUCAGUAAUGCAGGCGAUAAAGUGAAAAUAAUCUAAAUUUUGUUUGAAUAACACAUUACUAAACUUUAAAAAUUGCAAUUUUGUUUUUGUUUUGUCCGGGGCUGUGUAGCUGUAGUCGGUAGUCAUUUUAAUCACCAUUUCGUUUGUUUUUUUUUUAAGUUUUGUUUUGCACCUAACACAUGGAAAUAAUGCUUUGUACACGUAAUAAAUGAUUAAUGAUCA